GACGAACGCUGGCGGCGUGCUUAACACAUGCAAGUCGAACGGAAAGGCCCUGCUUUUGUGAGGUGCUCGAGUGGCGAACGGGUGAGUAACACGUGAGUAACCUGCCCUUGACUUUGGGAUAACUUCAGGAAACUGGGGCUAAUACCGGAUAGGAGCUCCUGCUGCAUGGUGGGGGUUGGAAAGUUUCGGCGGUUGGGGAUGGACUCGCGGCUUAUCAGCUUGUUGGUGGGGUAGUGGCUUACCAAGGCUUUGACGGGUAGCCGGCCUGAGAGGAUGACCGGCCACAUUGGGACUGAGAUACGGCCCAGACUCCUACGGGAGGCAGCAGUGGGGAAUAUUGCACAAUGGGCGGAAGCCUGAUGCAGCAACGCCGCGUGCGGGAUGACGGCCUUCGGGUUGUAAACCGCUUUCGCCUGUGACGAAGCGUGAGUGACGGUAAUGGGUAAAGAAGCACCGGCUAACUACGUG
rnacentral:rRNA from 1 species